GUGAUUGCACCAGAAGGGCUCUGUCCUCCUGAAGGGGCUGAUCCCAGUAUCACAGGAGUGGCUCAGUCCUUGAAAGAGUGCAUUCUUGACAAAAGAGUGACUUUGCCUGACUCUUCCUCACAGGCCCUCUACCCUGUGUAACACCCUGCCAGAGAUGGCCCUUCACUGGGAAUUCCAGCCUACAGAACCCAAAUGAGUGCCUGUUGUUGAUAAACUGCACAGUCUGUGGUGGUCUGUUACAGCAGCAGAACAUGCGCUGGGACAUGGGCUUCUGCCAGUGUCUGAUCCUGCUAUCUGUUGAGCUUGGUAGCAGUCCUAACAGUAAUUGCUGUGUUUACUGAGCACUUACUCCAUGCCCAUGGCCUUGCUGCAUUAGCUUAUUAAUCCUUACAGCUUCCUACAAGGUAGAUACAUUUUCCACACCUCCAACGCUAGGGAAUGAGCCCUAGUUUAGAGGUUUCAUUUAUCCAGUGGUGAUUUCCUGAGUGUUUACUUUGUGCUAGGCAGCCUUCUCAGUGAAGGUGCAGUGCUGAACAAAACGUGCCAGUAUGGAUUUCUAUCCUAGUACCAACUGCCCGAAGUUACAAGAGGGGAGUUGUGAAGCUGGCUCAUGUCAUUAGUCACUUCCUAUCUGCUUUCCUUUUUCAGCACCACACCCUGACCACAUGGCUGCUGACCACUGCACCUGCUUCACAGGGGGCUGGCACCUCAGCAUGGAGAUGAGCAAUGGCGAACACACAGAAGGGCCUGGUUAUCCUCAUGACUCCUGGGGCCACAGCUAGUGCAGGAGUUUUGCGGUAUUGAUGAUACAAGAAACACAUGCCUUUUAAGAAAGGAGGAAGAACUUCAGUUGCACAUCAUUUUCCAAGUGAGUACUGGAUGUUGUGGAUUUUGGGUUCCACAAUAGGACUGCAUAUUCUUUGACAGUUUUCUGACACUGUCCCAUCCUGUUGAAUGUGGAUGGGUUUGUGACUACUUCACCAAGAGAGUAGG
rnacentral:lncRNA from 1 species